rnacentral:rRNA from 1 species
CCUGAACGCUGUCGGCGUGAUUAAGACAUGCAAGUCGUACGGUGUAGCAAUACACAGUGGCGCACGGGUGAGUAAUGCAUCGCUAAUGUACCCUGGGGUCUGGGAUAGCCAGUCGAAAGAUUGGGUAAUACCAGAUGAGACCACGAACUGGCAUCAGUUUGUGCUCAAAGGGCAACUGCCCUGGGAUCAGGCGAUGUGGUAUCAGGAGUUGGUAGGGUAACGGCCUACCAAGCCUUCGACGCCUAGCCGGACUGAGAGGUCGGUCGGCCACAUCGGGACUGAGACACU